GUUUAUUUUUCUUUGUGUUUCUUCUUUUCUUUAAAUAUUAUAAAACUUUGACAGACAGAAACCAUGCCACACUAGAAUGUAUGACAUUCGAACAAAUAGGUAACGGUUCAGCGCUAAAUAAUCUAAUAGAAACUAAAACAAGUGAGGAAGCAGCAACCUAUAAGUAUGAGGCUCCCUCAAAAAGCCUCACAGAUAAGGAAAUAGACAAAAAUUGGUAUAUAGGUCGCGCUAUGGAAACAAAGGGAUAAUAUAAAAAAAAAAAAUAACUAAAUAGUAAAAAGUCCC